UGGGGAAUUUUGGACAAUGGGCGAAAGCCUGAUCCAGCAAUGCCGCGUGUGUGAAGAAGGCCUUCGGGUUGUAAAGCACUUUUGUCCGGAAAGAAAUCCUUGGCUCUAAUACAGUCGGGGGAUGACGGUACCGGAAGAAUAAGCACCGGCUAACUACGUGCCAGCAGCCGCGGUAAUACGUAGGGUGCAAGCGUUAAUCGGAAUUACUGGGCGUAAAGCGUGCGCAGGCGGUUUGCUAAGACCGAUGUGAAAUCCCCGGGCUCAACCUGGGAACUGCAUUGGUGACUGGCAGGCUAGAGUAUGGCAGAGGGGGGUAGAAUUCCACGUGUAGCAGUGAAAUGCGUAGAGAUGUGGAGGAAUACCGAUGGCGAAGGCAGCCCCUGGGCCAAUACUGACGCUCAUGCACGAAAGCGUGGGGAGCAAACAGGAUUAGAUACCCUGGUAGUCCACGCCCUAAACGAUGUCAACUAGUUGUUGGGGAUUCAUUUCCUUAGUAACGUAGCUAACGCGUGAAGUUGACCGCCUGGGGAGUACGGUCG
rnacentral:rRNA from 1 species